CUCUAGGAAUGGAAACCAAGGUAGACA
rnacentral:piRNA from 1 species